rnacentral:misc_RNA from 1 species
UCCGAGUUGACCCCGGCAGUCUCCUAUGAGUCCCCGGCAUUAUCCGCUGGCAACAUAGGACAAGGGUUGCGCUCGUUGCGGGACUUAACCCAACAUCUCACGACACGAGCUGACGACAGCCAUGCACCACCUGUGCAAGGCCCCUAAGGACACCGUGUUUCCACGGCUUUUCCCUGCAUGUCAAGCCUAGGUAAGGUUCUUCGCGUUGCUUCGAAUUAAGCCACAUGCUCCGCCGCUUGUGCGGGUCCCCGUCAAUUCCUUUGAGUUUUAGCCUUGCGGCCGUACUCCCCAGGCGGGGUGCUUAACGCGUUAGCUGCGGCGCGGGAUCCGUGGAUGUGACCCCACACCUAGCACCCAUCGUUUACGGCGUGGACUAC